UACGUAGGGGGCAAGCGUUGUCCGGAUUUAUUGGGCGUAAAGAGCGUGUAGGCGGCCAUUCAGGUCAGCUGUGAAAACUCGAGGCUCAACCUCGAGACGUCGGUUGAAACCGUCUGGCUAGAGUCCGGAAGAGGAGAGUGGAAUUCCCGGUGUAGCGGUGAAAUGCGCAGAUAUCGGGAAGAACACCCGUGGCGAAGGCGGCUCUCUGGGACGGUACUGACGCUGAGACGCGAAAGCGUGGGGAGCGAACAGG
rnacentral:rRNA from 1 species